AGGCGAACUGGCCCAAUGGAAUAAAGGGAUAAA
rnacentral:tRNA from 1 species